GGAGGGGUCGCAUAGUGGCCUAGUGCGGGCGCCUGCUAAGCGCUUACCGGGGGUAACUUCGGUCGAGAGUUCGAAUCUCUCCCCCUCCGCCA
rnacentral:tRNA from 1 species